rnacentral:sRNA from 1 species
GCUGGGUGCGGUGGUGCACACCUGUAAUCCUGGGACCAGGAGGCUGAGGCAAGAGGAUCACAAGUUAGAGGCCAGCCUCAG